CUUCAUGAAACAAAACAUAUCCAUGUUAGAAAAAAACGUAACCUCAUCUGUGACUGACAUGGCCCAAUAGAUCGAUUUAAAGAUGAAAUGUUUUAUUUGUACCACAGAAUUGAUUCACAAUAUGCAAGAAUGAAACGGCAGACAUGACCAAAGAGGAC